rnacentral:rRNA from 1 species
CAGCAGCCACGGUAAAACGUAGGGGGCGAGCGUUGUCCGAAGUUACUGGGCGUAAAGCGCGCGUAGGCGGCUUCUUAAGUCUGAGGUGGAAGGUUCAACGCUUAACGUGAACAGUGCCUUGGAUACUGGGGAGCUUGAGUAUGGGAGAGGGCAGUGGAAUGGCUGGUGUAGCGGUGAAAUGCGUAGAUAUCAGUCGGAACACCCAUGGCGAAGGCAGCUGCCUGGCCUAAUACUGACGCUGAGGUGCGAAAGCGUGGGGAGCGAACGGGAUUAGAUACCCCCGUAGUCCCUGUCUCUUAUU